rnacentral:lncRNA from 1 species
UAAAGGGCCGCCUUGGGGCGCGAAAAGUUCGUGAGGUGUAGUCGCGGCAACCAGGAGCAGGUGCACCCACCACUAGAAUUUGAACAUCCUAAGAACAGGUAUUUUUGUCUCUGCUUUGCUGAUGUAUCCUCAGCAACCGGAACUGCCUGACAUCUGAUCCUUUCUGUGAGACACCAGGCUGUUGAGGAAGAAUCUAUGGCAACAUUGUAUCUAUUAAUAUACAGCUUCUGUAUUUAUCAGGCCCAGUUCUGGUGAUGAUUUCACUUUUGACAGAAGCUGUCCCUCAAAAGCAAACAUGCAAUAGAAGAAACAGAUCUCAAUGCCAUCCAUCUGCAGUUGUGACAAGCAAAAAAGUCUCCAGACAUGGCCAAAUGUCCCCUGGGGGGCAAAAUCACCCCCAAUUGAGAACUACUGCUCUAAACUUGAUGUUCAUAUCAGCAGUACAGCGCUGGACUUCCUAGUGAAGAAAACAGCAAGAUUAUAGACACAGUUUAGAAACAAAGGAACACCAUAUACAUUUAAAGGCAUAAAGUAUUUACUCACUCCCUGGCCACAGCCACCGUUACCUUCUCAAUCCCAACUUCGGAUAUAAUUAUUGAUAUAUUUAUAACGAGUUUAUGAAGAAUGUGAAAAAGAUCUGACCACCCUAGCUAUGGACUGAAGUUGGAGCCUCUUUUCUAAUAUAAUGCAAUUGACCAAGACUGCUUGGGAGCAGCUGUCAGUAUUGUUUAAAGCUGUCAUUCAAUAUGGCCAAACUCUUUGUUAUCUAAAACCCCUUGUCUGAUCUGUUGCCUCUGUUUCACUUUUCCAAUUAGAUGAAUGACAGAAACAAAAAAUCGUAAUAAAUAUUGUCAAAUCUGAUUUUAUUAGAACCCAUGGGGUUUGCCUGAGGCCUUCUGAUUUUGUCAUGUAGAUAAUAAUGUCAUCUGUAAUUCCUUGCAGUACUGCCUGGCUCAUUUAGAUGCUGAUAAUAUCAUCUGAUCUGGGAGUGGCUUUUCUCUAUCAGAACUGCCAUUUCAAAGUUAACAGGAUUUUAGUGUGUUAAAAACCCUUUAAAGAGACACUGGCCAAUGGAGUAUGCAUUGUAAAUUUACCUAUUCAGAACUUGAUAAAUAGUUUAAGCUUGUUUAUAUUUUACUCCCUAUGUAACAAAGCUAGAAUUCUCAAAAAGAACAGUUUGAAUCUUAACAGGCACAUAAGCAUAGGAGAAGGCCAACAUAAAACAGGUGUAAAAUAAAGCAAAAAAUCGAAGACUGAACAAACCCUAAAAAUUGAUGUAACGAGAAUUUUAGGGAGGUGAUGUAGGCUAAAUCACUUCCUACCUACAGUCAUUGAUGCAAGAGGCUAUUUAAAGAGCACUUAAAGACCUACUGUCCUACUAUACUGUGGCUCAAUUCAAAAAAAUAAUGCAACAAAACUUCUAGAAAUCUUUC